rnacentral:sRNA from 1 species
CUUGGCGGUGGUGUAGCGAUCGGGGACGUCCGAAGAACUCACCGAGCACCCGGGCGCCAAGGAUGACACCAAGUCCUGGCAGG